GAUGAACGCUAGCGGCAGGCCUAAUACAUGCAAGUCGAACGGUGUCUUCGGACAUAGUGGCGCACGGGUGCGUAACACGUAUGCAACCUACCUUACAUUGGGGGAUAGCCUUUCGAACGGGAGAUUAAUACCGCAUAAGACAGUAGCUGGGCAUCCAGCAGCUGUUAAAGAUUUAUCGAUGUAAGCUGGGCAUGCGUCCAAUUAGCUAGUUGGUGAGGUAACGGCUCACCAAGGCAAUGAUUGGUAGGGGAACUGAGAGGUCAAUCCCCCACACUGGCACUGAGAUACGGGCCAGACUCCUACGGGAGGCAGCAGUAGGGAAUAUUGGGCAAUGGACGCAAGUCUGACCCAGCCACGCCGCGUGCAGGAUGAAGGCGUUAUGCGUUGUAAACUGCUUUUAUACAGGAAGAAACGACUCUUGCGAGAGGCAUUGACGGUACUGUAUGAAUAAGCACCGGCUAACUCCGUGCCAGCCGCCGCCGUAAGAC
rnacentral:rRNA from 1 species